UUACUUUAAAAAAAAUUUCAUAGUUAGUCAUUCUUUAUAUUAAACUUCCACUGCUUAACCUACAAUGUGAUUUCUAUUUCCUGAUGGAAUUUAGAAUGAUACUGCUGACUGUGAUGAAAUCGCUCUUCUUAGGGCAUAUAAGCCCUGUUUUUGAAUACAUGAUUUAAUCAAAUCCAUAUUUAAAGUUCCUAUGGGUCACUGUCCACUUUCCUAUCUUGGAACAAGAGUUCAAAUUAUACAGAUUUUAUUACAGGGAAGGAGAUAUUCUUGUAUUUGGAUUUUUUUCAGAAGAUAGUUUAUCUAAUUUAAUAGAAAUAACAUUAGCCUUAUUACCUAUACAGAAAAAAUUUCCAUGACUAUCUGUGUAAUGCAAGGCACAUUUUCAGAACAAAUACAUAAAUAAUUGCUGAUAUUUAGAAAGAAGCUUAGAUUACUUAGUGGGCAUAAUUUCCAGGUUCUAUUUAUCUUAUAACAAAGUAAUUCCUCCUUUAGAGUACUAAGUUAUGAUUGUUUUAAGUAACAUGACUUUUAUUACAUUUUACUUCUUCAAAUUUUAAAACUUAUUUACUGUUUAAGUUUUUGAUUGAUGUUCUGCUUUUAACGUACAAAGUAAGAAUGGUCAGGGUCAGCCCUUCUUAUGUUAUUUUGUGGUCAAUAUUGAAAAUCUUUGUUCCACUUGAAUGUAUCUAUCUAGGACAUAGAGCUGGUUGUCUGGCUGUGGAGGAAAAGGAAAAUGCAGUGGAUACAGUAGGAGAAGGUGACUACUAUACCUGCACAGCAAUUUCUUACCACAAAGAAGCAAGGAUUGGUGGUUCAGAUGGUGCUUGUGUCCCAUCACCAUUAGCUGCAGAAGCGAGCACUCUGGAGAGUUUGAAUAAUAAAUAUAUCGCUCUUUGUUCCCAUCUCACACCCUGAAAGUUUUCUUUGAAGUUUAGAGUGCCUUUCAUGUUGUGGAAAAUUUGCUGUAAUAUUCUGAAGGUCUAAAUCUUUCUAGCAGAGCUAUCAAAGGGCACAUCAUAGUCAGUGGUUCUGUUGACUGACUUCUGUGUUCAAUUAUGAGUUCCAUGUGGGUGGACACCAUGUCUCUAUUCUCUAUCACUCCUGACCAGCAUCCCAAGAGGAAAGCAGAUUCUUACCAAUGUUUGUUGAAUGAUUAGAUGACUAAAUAAAUUUUAUACUGUUAUUAUGAUCUGGCUACUCAGUGCUUUUUCUCUGAGAAUUUAAAAUUAUUUUGCUAACUGGUUGCUAGUUUCCUAUACAACAGACACAGCUACCUUGGAUCUUAGUAUCAAAACAUACGAGGAAUGUCUACUGUGUAUCUAAUUAGUUGAGAACAGAGCAUCUUUCCUUAAAGACCAUCUGCAUUUUUUAAGAGCAGAGAGAGCUUGUGUGGCUGAAGGCUCCAGAUUCUAAUUCAAUUACAUUGCAG
rnacentral:lncRNA from 1 species